GGGGAUAUAGCUCAGUAGCAUAAGCACCUGCCUGGCAAGUACAAGGUCAUGAGUUUGAUUCCCAGUAUUCCCC
rnacentral:tRNA from 1 species